GUAAAUGAAUACAUCCGAACAACAACAAUUUAUUAUUAUAAAAGCUGAUUUGAGCAGCAAGCUCGUAAGCCCAUGCUACUCCUUCUGCCCUGAUAGGAUAACAAAAAAACCUCCUAAAAGCACGAUCCACGAUGAACCCUUGUUGUUAAUCCACAAUGAAAUUCUUCUGAAAUUCUCAUUGCAAAGCACAAUGAUGAUAAUUUGUAAUUUAACAAAACACCAAUGUUCAAAAUCAAUGUUUGAAACACACAAAACACAUUGCUCUUACUCAAAACACAAAACUUAUACACAUGCUGAGCCUUCUUCGAUGUAUUUGCCUUUCCAAUGUUUAUAUGAUUACAUUAUAGUAUGAAG
rnacentral:lncRNA from 1 species